GAUGAACGCUGGCGGCGUGCCUAAUACAUGCAAGUCGAGCGAACGGACGAGAAGCUUGCUUCGCUGAUGUUAGCGGCGGACGGGAGAGUAACACGUGGAUAACCUACCUAUAAGACUGGGAUAACUUCGGGAAACCGUAGCUAAUACCGGAGAAUAUUUUGAACCGCAUGGUUCAAAAGUGAAAGACGGUCGUGCUGUCACGUAUAGAUGGAUCCGCGCUGCAUUAGCUAGUUGGUAAGGUAACGGCUUACCAAGGCAACGAUGCAUAGCCGACCUGAGAGGGUGAUCGGCCACACUGGAACUGAGACACGGUCCAGACUCCUACGGGAGGCAGCAGUAGGGAAUCUUCCGCAAUGGGCGAAAGCAUGACGGAGCAACGCCGCGUGAGUGAUGAAGGUCUUCGGAUCGUAAAACUCUGUUAUUAGGGAAGAACAUAUGUGUAAGUAACUGUGCACAUCUUGACGGUACCUAAUCAGAAAGCCACGGCUAACUACGUG
rnacentral:rRNA from 1 species